CCCUUAGAUGUCCGGGGCCGCACGCGCGCUACACUGAAGGAAUCAGCGUGGCUCUGUCCCUGGUCCGAAAGGAUUGGGAAACCCGUUGAAUCUCCUUCGUGAUAGGGAUUGGGGCUUGGAACUGUUCCCCAUGAACGAGGAAUACCCAGUAAGCGCAAGUCAUAAGCUUGCGUUGAUUACGUCCCUGCCCUUUGUACACACCGCCCGUCGCUACUACCGAUUGGAUGACUUAGUGAGGCUUUUGGAUUGGAAUCAGUAGAUAGACCUCGUCAAUCUGUUGAGGCCGAAAAAAUCGUCAAACUUGGCCAUCUAGAGGAAGUAAAAGUCGUAACA
rnacentral:rRNA from 1 species